GAAGGCGGUCAUAGUAAGUAGGAAACACCCGUUCCCUUUCCGAACACGGAAGUUAAGCUGCUUACGUUGCUGGCUGUACUCUCAGAUCGAGGGGAAACCUUCAAGCUGCCUUCG
rnacentral:rRNA from 1 species